rnacentral:lncRNA from 1 species
CUGCUGUUACUUGCUGGAGCCAAAGUCCCUUCUGUUGCAUCUCUUCUUUAUUGUUCUCUGGGUGGACAAAUCUGCUUGAUCAGUCUUUUGAUGUGCGAACUUUGGCUAAAAGAUUCAACUAUUUAAUGUCCGUGAAUGCUCGAUUUGAUAUUUUGGUCUGAUGACAUUGCUUGCUUGACUUAAACAAUCAAAUUUGGCCUUACUCUGUCAAGGCUACGAUGGGUAGUGGAUUCUCUUUUGCUUACAAGCUUUAGCAAUUGC